AAGCAAGGUCACCUCAGAGGUGGGGACAUUUUUCUUUUCUCUUUUGGUCUGACCCGCCCAAUUAUUUUGACCUAAGUUCACUGCCCCUGGCCUGCCAUAGCACGCGACCUGUGGGAAACCCACGCAGCACCCUGAACGCAGUGUUAACGCCCCCAGUCGGAGAAGGCCCACGGCCAGGGCGAGGCCAUCGGCUUCCAGCUGCACAUUCGUCGCGUCAUCACCAACAGCUCCCAGGUUUAGCCACGCGGGAAGCAGACCCGAGUCCAGGGAGUCUGCGCGAGUGGCAGUGGAAAGCGGAACUCGGAAAUGGAGUGUGGAGAGCGACGGACUGCCGGGGCGCCUUCAGACUCGCUCCCAAACACAAGGGCUCUCCGAGAGGUCAAGUUUGUUCCAUGAGCCCUGAGCCUCCCUCCGCUGCAGCUGCGGCCGGUCCACCGUCCACGUUGACAGUGGCAGUGAGGCAGGAAGUUCGCACUGACGGGGAGAACGCUGGUGUGUCUGCGCCCCGGUCAUCCGGGGUCACUAGGGAGGACUGCGUCCCCCAAGGUCACAGAUUGGCGUCCUAACCCCCAGGACUUCAUAAGGUGACUACACGUGGAGACGGGGUCUUGAAAGAGGUGGCAAAGUCAUACAACUUGGAUUCCCAACAAACUUGGUCCCAGCAGUGAAGACUGACAACCAGCGGCCCCGGACAGAGACCCCACUGCGCACAAGGGCUCUCGGCCGGUCACGUGCAUCCGGUGCCCAGGUGAAGAGCCGUCAACGGCCACAGCGCAGAUGAUCUCCAAACCGGCCGCAAACUUCCCGCUGCCUGCCUGCGUCUCUGCCCUGACAGUGAGUUCUGGCGUCUCGACUCAUCGAUGUGUUUUUGGUGCCUGGCCCAGUGUCUGGCCUACAGUGGCUCAACAAGAAAAUGCCCGAUGAAAAAAAUGAAUGAAAAUAGAUCAAAAUAUUCGCGGC